GGCUAACGCAGGGAACUGAAACAUCUAAGUACCUGCAGGAAAAGAAAUCAACCGAGAUUCCCUUAGUAGUGGCGAGCGAACGGGGACCAGCCCUUAAGCUGGUUUGAGAUUAGUGGAACGCUCUGGAAAGUGCGGCCAUAGUGGGUGAUAGCCCUGUACGCGAAAGGAUCUUAGAAGUGAAAUCGAGUAGGACGGAGCACGAGAAACUUUGUCUGAAUAUGGGGGGACCAUCCUCCAAGGCUAAAUACUACUGACUGACCGAUAGUGAACUAGUACCGUGAGGGAAAGGCGAAAAGAACCCCGGCGAGGGGAGUGAAACAGAACCUGAAACCGUGUACGUACAAGCAGUGGGAGC
rnacentral:rRNA from 1 species